UACGGAGGGGGCUAGCGUUGUUCGGAAUUACUGGGCGUAAAGCGCACGUAGGCGGCUUUGUAAGUUAGAGGUGAAAGCCCGGGGCUCAACCCCGGAACUGCCUUUAAGACUGCAUCGCUUGAAUCCAGGAGAGGUGAGUGGAAUUCCGAGUGUAGAGGUGAAAUUCGUAGAUAUUCGGAAGAACACCAGUGGCGAAGGCGGCUCACUGGACUGGUAUUGACGCUGAGGUGCGAAAGCGUGGGGAGCGAACAGG
rnacentral:rRNA from 1 species